ensembl:snoRNA SNORA53 small nucleolar RNA SNORA53
AACACGUUCCUUAGAUCCACCUCUGGGGGGCACUCCAGUGCUAGAACUGUUGCUCUAUCUGGGUGCAGCAGCUCCAGUCUGGGGGGCUUCCAGCAACUUGCUGGUUGUACAGUUGGAGGUGCUUGAGUCAUUGGCGUGUGAGAGCAGUAUACCUGCCCCCCAGCCCCCCGCUGCACUGGUACCCCAUCAGCUCUGCUGGCAGGAAGUUCCCAGUGCAGCUAGGCUGGGAAGCAGACAUC